CCUACGGGCGGCAGCAGUGAGGAAUAUUGGUCAAUGGACGAGAGUCUGAACCAGCCAAGUAGCGUGAAGGAUGACUGCCCUAUGGGUUGUAAACUUCUUUUAUAUGGGAAUAAAAUGUUCCACGUGUGGGUUUUUGUAUGUACCAUAUGAAUAAGGAUCGGCUAACUCCGUGCCAGCAGCCGCGGUAAUACGGAGGAUCCGAGCGUUAUCCGGAUUUAUUGGGUUUAAAGGGAGCGUAGGUGGAUUGUUAAGUCAGUUGUGAAAGUUUGCGGCUCAACCGUAAAAUUGCAGUUGAAACUGGCAGUCUUGAGUACAGUAGAGGUGGGCGGAAUUCGUGGUGUAGCGGUGAAAUGCUUAGAUAUCACGAAGAACCCCGAUUGCGAAGGCAGCUCACUGGACUGCAACUGACACUGAGGCUCGAAAGUGUGGGUAUCAAACAGGAUUAGAUACCCCAGUAGUC
rnacentral:rRNA from 1 species